GGCCCAUUGGUGAAGCGGUCUAACACAUAGCCCUCUCAAGGCUACAUUCAUGGGUUCAAACCCCAUAUGGGUCACCA
rnacentral:tRNA from 1 species